GGGGUUGUAGCUCAGUAGGAGAGUGCUCACCUAGCAUAUGUGAGGCACUGAGUUCGAUCCUCAGCACCCUA
rnacentral:tRNA from 1 species